AGCGAACGCUGGCGGCAGGCCUAACACAUGCAAGUCGAACGAACUCUUCGGAGUUAGUGGCGGACGGGUGAGUAACGCGUGGGAAUCUACCCUAGAGCGGGGGACAACCCGGGGAAACCCGGGCUAAUACCGCAUACGUCCUACGGGAGAAAGAGGGCCUCUGCUUGCACGCUCUCACUCCAGGAUGAGCCCACGUCCGAUUAGCUAGUUGGUAGGGUAAAGGCCUACCAAGGCCACGAUCGGUAGCUGGUCUGAGAGGAUGAUCAGCCACACUGGGACUGAGACACGGCCCAGACUCCUACGGGAGGCAGCAGUGGGGAAUAUUGGACAAUGGGCGCAAGCCCGAUCCAGCAAUGCCGCGUGUGUGAAGAAGGCCUGCGGGUUGUAAAGCACUUUCAGUGGGGAAGAACAGAUUCGGGUCAAUACCCCGGAGCCCUGACGUUACCCACAGAAGAAGCACCGGCUAACUCCGUG
rnacentral:rRNA from 1 species